rnacentral:rRNA from 1 species
UACAGAGGUCUCAAGCGUUGUUCGGAUUCAUUGGGCGUAAAGGGUGCGUAGCGGCGCGGUAAGUCGGGUGUGAAAUCUCGGAGCUUAACUCCGAAACUGCAUUCGAUACUGCCGUGCUUGAGGACUGGAGAGGAGACUGGAAUUUACGGUGUAGCGGUGAAAUGCGUAGAUAUCGUAAGGAAGACCAGUGGCGAAGGCGG